rnacentral:lncRNA from 1 species
CCUUGUUCCGCGUGGCUGUUGUAUCCUCUCUUUUACUGCCAGACAGGGAAAUGCGCCCUUGGUUUGACCUUCCCUCUCCUCCGUGAAAGCACCAGGAACUAACCCUCUAAGUCAGCACCUGGCUCCUGACAGCACCAAGCGUUCGUUUUCUUUAUAAAUCUUGUUUCAGAUCAGCACUUUGCAGUUGACAUAUUUUCCUCCUUUUAUUCCUUUUGUCAUUGUUUUUCUUGCUUCUCUCCUAAUCUCUGCCUAUGCCCAGAACCCACUAUUGCUCCAAUUUCUUAAACUUUUAAUUAAUUUCUUUGUUUUAUUAGCUCAACUGUCUCCCAUCCUGUGUCUCUCUGGUGUUUCUCCUCGCAUAGGUCUGAGGGCAUUAGCUUGACUCUUGGAGCAGCUGGGGCCCCUGAGGCUCAGGCAUGAAGUCGGAGCAGGUGAGGGCAGCCUGUGGAGGCCUCCAGAGGUUCUCUGCAUUAACUGCGGCUUCUGCCCAGUUUAAACAGAAGAUUAUUGAACUGGAAGCAGCAGCCGAUUGCUGUUUGCAGUAUCUUUACAGCUCCAAGUGGCCCACAGGCAAGUGAGGAAGGGUGUCAAAGACCACACUGCCAGGGGUGCUGUGAGAGGACAGGUCAGCAGGCAGGACCUGGACUGGUCGUGGGAUGGGUAGUGGAGCUGUGGGGAUGUGACUACAAACCUGGCUUCUGAUCAAGGAUUUGGAUGGAAUCUGUUACUUACGAUUUAUUGGUAGUCGUAGAUGCUAACUAGAUUAGUCCUCACUACUACGCACAGAGGUAACUCUUUUGAUGCAUUGUCAGGAGAAUAAUUCAUAAUCACCUUGCCAAUAGUUGCGAUUUGGUGUUUUGUCUUAUUUUGUUUGUAUUAGAGGUUGAACAAAAAUAGAUUUUAAUCCGUGUGACAUCACUUACCCAUCACCAUAUUCCCAGGGGUACCGAAAGGAGGAGUCAGUUAAGUGGACGUUAGUCAAAUGUGUUGUUUGGUGUCAUUAUUUAAUUCUUUCAUUCAACAAAUAUUUAUAAAGUCUACUGUGUUUGGGGCUCAUCAGUCGGUAGGGACUGACAACUGGACAAAGCCUCUGUCUAUUGUGUAAUUAAUU